CCGGCCCAAACUCCUCGCAGCUCAAACUUUUACAAGCUCGGCGUUCGCGAGCAGGAAGAGAGAGACGCAGAGUAAGAUCUGCAAAGGGAGUCUGCAGCUCCUCUUCUCUCCUCUUCUUCGAACUGAUGUCCAUGAAAUGACUCAUGCUUGCUUUUUUUCCCCUCCUAAUUUCAUGUACUAAUUUUCAGCAUCGCCCACUGACAUGCUCCGGAAAGAAGAAAGGAUUUAAAGUAGAAAACAAUUGCUUGAAAAAAAAUAAAACGAAGAGUCGGUGACGUCACACAGGAAGCUGUCUUGGAUAUUGCCUGAGGAGAGACACUGAUGACUGUCUGAGCCAUGGACACUCUUGAACAUUAGGGCUCUAUCCGGGGACUCAAACAUCGGACUAUCAUUUUUGGAUCUGCUUGUUUUCAGAGACCGACCCCUCAGUGUUGCCCCCUUGUUUUCGCUCCAGAGCUCCAUGAAACAGUUUGUUAUUGGACGCUGUGUUGCGGUAGACAUCCCAGACCACCAGUUUGGUCUGUUUGUGUUGACAGCAAGCAGCGGUUUCCAUUCACAGCCACACUCGAAUCAAAUCAGAACCUCUCCGCUCUCGUGUGCAACAAAUCCGAAUAAAAACACAGGCAGGUGCAGAACGACUAAAGACGUCCGGAGUGACAACCGAAAAUGGGAACUGUGAGGCAUGUACUACCUGGGAAUGAAGCCAACUGCUGACAAAAGGCUUUACUGCGCUGCUCUGAGACAAGCCUUUAACUCAUUUGCUCUGAAACGCUCCAGGACGAUCUGGCACUGAACUGUCUGGCCAACUGGAGAUAAAUCUGUCAAGCCUCUUGGCUUCGUUACAGCAUAGCAUUUCAACCAGCAAGCCUCCACUGCUACCUGCACAACUAUCUGUCCUUAAGGCUGAGGUAGUAGAUUGAAUAGUUGUGGGGUUCAUGUCCUCCUUUUGAGAUAACUAUACAAUCUACUGUCUUUCCGAAGGAAACAGGUUAAUCUUCCAUGAUGCCGAAGGCGGUACGUGCAAGGGAAGCUCUGUGGAUAAAAAGAACACAAAGACUGAGUAAAUACCACAUGAAACAAAGAACUUAACCCACAGCUGUUGAGAUGAAACUGCAGACACAACAAAGACUCUACAGUUUUACAAGAUGCAACAGUGGAACUGGUCUACUGUGACAUGUUCUGAAGUUGGUACACAACGACCAAAGUCUUGCUUUGAAGGUUGUAAAUUUGUGCUCGAAGUUGAGCCUAGCAAGGUGAGGUAGUAGGUUGUAUAGUUUGUGGGAUGGAGUAAAUCCUAUUCAGGUGAUAACUAUACAGUCUAUUACCUUCCUUGAGAGGUACAAUGAGUGCUUGGGAUGAAGCUCACUCAGUGAUGAGAGGGACGACAGAGACACUCUGAUGCCAUCUUGUGGCUGAAGACAAACAUCACUUUGGAAAUGAUUUGUGUACCUUUGUUUUCUAUGAACAAUUUAUGAAGGACUGAUGACAAUACUGAAAAUUAAAGUUCAUUCACUACUGUUUUGACAAUUUAGAAUUGAAGACAUAAUCUGAUACAUGAUUCAAAACCAUAAUUUUAUCAUUCUACAGUCAAAUUAGAGGACUGCCAUUAGACUGAUGGUAAAUUAGUUUGAUAAUCCUGACAAAAGAGCAACAGUUUAAGACUUGCAUAUCCAGAAAUAGGAAAUGAGAGCGUUUUAGGCAUUUGAAAGUAGAAUUCGGUGUCACAUCCUAUUUAGAUGCAGACUGCAAAGAGAGUUGUUCUGAAGUUUACCAGCUUUGGGUAAAUGAAAUAAAUUGAUUUAGAACACAUUUUGGUCGUCAGUGCUGGUUUGUAAAUGACAAUAAACUACACUGCCUGUCCAGAAACAAAGUCGCCACCUGGACUUAACUAAACAAAUAGAUAAGAGCCUUCCACUGGAUAAUUAUAGCAGUUAUUUAACCCUAGCUGAUGCAGUGAGGAGCUUCUCAUUUCUUAAACAGCCAUGUUGGAAGACAUAUACUGUGGUCAUGGAAAGGAUGUUAAUCUGUCUCAGAAGGGUCAAAUUAUUGGCCUGUAUCAAGCAAAGAAAACAACUAAGGAGAUGAAACUACUAAAAUCAGGUUAAGAACUGUCCAACGAAUUAUUAAAACCUGAAGGAUAGUGGAGAACCAUCAUCUUCCAGGUACAAAUGUGGUUCUAACAAACUCUUAGAUGAUCGCAGGAAAUCGACAGUAGAACUCGCAGCAUUUUCACAUGCACAAUGCAAAGAAGUGGUUCAGGGAGCAUGAGACGUCAUUUUCACUAAUGGACUGUCCAUACAGUCCAGAUCUCAGCCCCACUGAGAAUCUUCUGGAUGUUCUGGAGAAGACUUCAUACAGCGGUCCGACUCUCCCAUCAUCAAUACAAGGUCUUGGCAGAAAAUUAAUCCAACUCUGGACAGAAAUAAAUGCUGUGACAUUGAAGAAGCUCACCAAAAUGAUGAAACAGCAAAUGUGUGCCAUACCCAAAGCUAAAGGCAGUCCAACAAAAUAUUAGAGUGUGCAACUUUUUUUUUUUUAAAUCAAAAUCCA
ensembl:lncRNA